rnacentral:tRNA from 1 species
ACUUAAAUAGUUUAAUAAAAAUAUUGAUUUGUGGAAUCAAAGAUAUAAAAUUUAUUUUAAGUU